UCGGCCAAUAAAAUCCACUCUGCAACACCUUUGCUGAAGUUUUUCUUCCACUAAAAUAUCCCCCACAUGCUAGUGAGUGGCAGAAGUUAAGAAUACUUUGGACUUCACACUCGAGGAUACAACGUCGGAUUACUUGAUCUGGACAAUAUUUGAACAACUCUGGUUCUUCCCAGAAAUAGUACUUUACUUGAAAGAAAAAUCUAUUUUUUUCUUAUUGGGUCCAAUGUGAUGGUAUUUGUCCCACAGCCAAGUAAUUGACUAUAUGAGCGAACCAGGGAAGACCAAUGGAAGACAUUGAAAAGAGUUGUUCAUCCGAAAAUCUAUCUC
rnacentral:lncRNA from 1 species